CGACCCCAGGUCAAGCGGGACUACCCGCUGAAUUUAAGCAUAUCAAUAAGCGGAGGAGAAGAAACUUACAAGGAUUCCCCUAGUAACGGCGAGCGAACCGGGAACAGCCCAGCUUGAGAAUCGGACGGCUUCGCUGUCCGA
rnacentral:rRNA from 3 species